rnacentral:rRNA from 1 species
GGAAGGAGAAGUCGUAACAAGGUUUCCGUAGGUGAACCUGCGGAAGGAUCAUUGUCGUGACCCUGACCAAAAUAGACCGUGAACGCGUCAUCUUGCCUGCCAGCGGUGGCCCUGNCCGUCGCUUGGCCAAAGUCCUCGAUAACCUCCUCUCCUCGGAGUGGGGGCUCGGGGUAAAAGAACCCACGGCGCCGAAGGCGUCAAGGAACACUGUGCCUAACCCGGGGAAGCGGCUGGCUUGCUAGCUGCCCCUCGUGUUGCAAUGCUAUUUAAUCCACACGACUCUCGGCAACNGGAUAUCUCGGCUCUCGCAUCGAUGAAGNAACGUAGCGAAAUGCGAUACCUGGUGUGNAAUUGCAGAAUCCCGCGAACCAUCGAGUCUUUGAACGCAAGUUGCGCCCGAGGCCACUUGGCCGAGGGCACGCCUGCCUGGGCGUCACGCCAAACACGCUCCCACCCCUCAUUGGGUGAUGGGAUGCGGCAUGUGGCUCCCCGUCUUGCAAGGGGCGGUGGGCCGAAGAUGCGGCUGCCGGCGUAUCGUGCCGGACACAGCGCGUGGUGGGCGAACUCGCUUUACUUACCGCAGUGCAUCCGGCCCAUAGCCGACGUGAUGGCCUUAAGGACCCUAUGAACGGAGCGCAUGACGCUCCGACCGCGACCCCAGGU